UUAGGCGGAUCACUGGAGGAAACCCGAGUCUGACAGGGAUUCCCAAGUUGGAAAAUAACCUUGAAAUUUCUGGUCUGCCUCGGAGGUGGGGAUGGCACCACAGAGCGGGUGUGAAUUCUGGCUGGCCAGUGAGGAGAGGAGCUGGCUGUGGAUGGAGUCUCUCUCUGCCCCUGGUGGUCUCUGUCCCGGGAGAAGAAGAAAGGCAGAGGCUGGCAAGAUGGCUCAGUGGCUGAAGACUCCUGCUUCUACAUUGGAUGACCUGAGUUCAAUCCCGGGGGACCUCCAUGGUGGAAGGAGAGAACUGACUUCCACAAGUGUCCUCUGGCCCCCACAUUUGUGCUUUGCACCCCCGCCCAAUAACUAAAAAUGUGUAGGGUGUACCAGAAAAAGCGCACAAAAAGAUGGGCAGAAGAAAACAUACCGGGGCUCACAAGAUGGCUCAGCCUGUAAAGGCACCUGAUGCCAAAGCGAGGAACUCUGGGAUAGAGACAGAGGGGAGACCCCACACUGCCCCCCGCCCCACUCUGAGGAAGAUGGACAUAUGAAACCGAGGAGAGGUGACCAGUCAGGGGCGCGCACGGAACAGAAUAUAUGGGUAAUGUAAGUUAUGAGCUCAAUGGGGAACGAGCCGAAGCUUAUGGUCUAGGCAUUUUUUCAUACAUAUUAAAGUCUCAGAGCGGUUCCAACGACCGACUCCU